rnacentral:rRNA from 1 species
UACGUAGGGUGCAGGCGUUAAUCGGAAUUACUGGGCGUAAAGCGUGCGCAGGCGGUCUUUUAAGUCAGAUGUGAAAUCCCCGGGCUUAACCUGGGAACUGCGUUUGAUACUGGGAGGCUUGAGUAUGGGAGAGGGAUGUAGAAUUCCAGGUGUAGCGGUGAAAUGCGUAGAUAUCUGGAGGAAUACCGGUGGCGAAGGCGGCAUCCUGGACCAUAACUGACGCUGAGGCGCGAAAGCUAGGGGAGCAAACGGG